rnacentral:rRNA from 1 species
UGAGGAAUAUUGGUCAAUGGACGAGAGUCUGAACCAGCCAAGUAGCGUGAAGGAUGACUGCCCUAUGGGUUGUAAACUCCUUUUAUAUGGGAAUAAAGUAUUCCACGUGUGGGAUUUUGUAUGUACCAUAUGAAUAAGGAUCGGCUAACUCCGUGCCAGCAGCCGCGGUAAUACGGAGGAUCCGAGCGUUAUCCGGAUUUAUUGGGUUUAAAGGGAGCGUAGGUGGAUUGUUAAGUCAGUUGUGAAAGUUUGCGGCUCAACCGUAAAAUUGCAGUUGAAACUGGCAGUCUUGAGUACAGUAGAGGUGGGCGGAAUUCGUGGUGUAGCGGUGAAAUGCUUAGAUAUCACGAAGAACUCCGAUUGCGAAGGCAGCUCACUAGACUGCAACUGACACUGAUGCUCGAAAGUGUGGGUAUCAAACAGG